rnacentral:rRNA from 1 species
UCCUACGGGACGCAGCAGUGGGGAAUAUUGCACAAUGGGGGAAACCCUGAUGCAGCGACGCCGCGUGAGUGAAGAAGUAUUUCGGUACGUAAAGCUCUAUCAGCAGGGAAGAAAAUGACGGUACCUGACUAAGAAGCCCCGGCUAACUACGUGCCAGCAGCCGCGGUAAUACGUAGGGGGCAAGCGUUAUCCGGAUUUACUGGGUGUAAAGGGAGCGCAGGCGGAGGUGCAAGUCAGCGGUCAAAUUGCGGGGCUCAACCCCGUACUGCCGUUGAAACUGCAUCCCUUGAGUGCGCGAGAAGUAU